ensembl:snRNA U2 U2 spliceosomal RNA
AAGGGUUGUCAUUCUUUUGGCUAAGAUCAAGUGUAGUAACUUCUUAUCAGUUUAACAUCUGAUAUGUCCUCUAUCCAAGGACAAUAUAUUAAAUGGAUUUUUGGAGCUGGGAGUCGGAAUAGGGGUUUGCUCCAUCUGCUCCAUGCAUAGACUUGGUAUUGCAGUACUUCCAGGAAUGGUGCACCUCCU